UACGAAGGGGGCUAGCGUUGUUCGGAUUUACUGGGCGUAAAGGGCGCGUAGGCGGCGCACCAAGUCAGGCGUGAAAGCCCUGGGCUCAACCCGGGAAUUGCGCUUGAGACUGGUGUGCUUGAGUACGGGAGAGGAUAGUGGAAUUCCCAGUGUAGAGGUGAAAUUCGUAGAUAUUGGGAAGAACACCGGUGGCGAAGGCGGCUCUCUGGACCGAUACUGACGCUGAGGCGCGAAAGCGUGGGGAGCAAACAGG
rnacentral:rRNA from 1 species